rnacentral:rRNA from 1 species
UACGUAGGGUGCGAGCGUUAAUCGGAAUUACUGGGCGUAAAGCGUGCGCAGGCGGUUCGUUGUGUCGGCGGUGAAAGCCCCGGGCUCAACCUGGGAAUGGCCGUUGAAACUGGCGAACUGGAGUGUGGCAGAGGGGGGUGGAAUUCCGCGUGUAGCAGUGAAAUGCGUAGAGAUGCGGAGGAACACCGAUGGCGAAGGCAGCCCCCUGGGCUGACACUGACGCUCAGGCACGAAAGCGUGGGGAACAAACAGG